GGGGUCGUGGCUUAAUGGUAGAGUGCUUGCCUUGCAUGCAUGAGGCUCUGGGUUCAAUCCUCAGCACUCCA
rnacentral:tRNA from 1 species